GNCCNNGNNGGNNGCUUACACAUGCAGUCGAACGAGAACGGGUUAUAGCUUGCUAUAAUUGUCAGCUAAGUGGCGCACGGGUGAGUAAUGUAUAGGUAAUAUGCCUCUUACUAAGGGAUAACAAAUGGAAACGUUUGCUAAUACCUUAUACUCCUUAUUAACUAAAGUUAGUAAGGGAAAGAUUUAUUGGUAAGAGAUUGGCCUGUAUUGUAUCAGUUAGUUGGUGGGGUAAUGGCCUACCAAGACUAUGACGCAUAACUGGUUUGAGAGGAUGAUCAGUCACACUGGAACUGAGACACGGUCCAGACUCCUACGGGAGGCAGCAGUGGGGAAUAUUGCACAAUGGACGAAAGUCUGAUGCAGCAACGCCGCGUGGAGGAUGACACAUUUCGGUGCGUAAACUCCUUUUAUAUAAGAAGAUAAUGACGGUAUUAUAUGAAUAAGCACCGGCUAACUCCGUGCCGGCAGCCGCGGUAAUACGGGGGGUGCAAGCGUUACUCGGAAUCACUGGGCGUAAAGAGCAUGUAGGCGGAUUGAUAAGUUUGAAGUGAAAUCCUAUAGCUUAACUAUAGAACUGCUUUGAAAACUGUUAGUCUAGAAUGUGGGAGAGGUAGAUGGAAUUUCUGGUGUAGGGGUAAAAUCCGUAGAGAUCAGAAGGAAUACCGAUUGCGAAGGCGAUCUACUGGAACAUUAUUGACGCUGAGAUGCGAAAGCGUGGGGAGCAAACAGGAUUAGAUACCCUGGUAGUCCACGCCCUAAACGAUGUACACUAGUUGUUGUGAGGCUAGACCUUGCAGUAAUGCAGUUAACACAUUAAGUGUACCGCCUGGGGAGUACGGUCGCAAGAUUAAAACUCAAAGGAAUAGACGGGGACCCGCACAAGCGGUGGAGCAUGUGGUUUAAUUCGACGAUACACGAAGAACCUUACCUGGACUUGACAUAGUAAGACU
rnacentral:rRNA from 1 species